UAACCUGAUGUGCCAAGUGCCAGCCUCUAAGAGCGUAGAGCAGUCAGUGAAACCCUAAAGAAGACAUUUUAGAGCCGAAUAAUAUAGUUCUGUUGGAAGGGACCUUCAAAAGAUCACUAAGCCCAACUGCCUGAGAACUUGGAGAGCAACCCAAAAGCUAAAGCAUGCUAUUGAGCGGAUUUUCCAAAUGUCUCUUGAAUGCUGACAGGCAUGAGGCAUCAGCCACAUCUCUAGGAAGCCUAUUCCAGUGUUUGACCAUCUUCGUGGCACAGAAAUGUUUCCUCAGAUUGACCUUCCUGUUGACCAGUACCUUGAUUUUGUUGUAAUUGAGAUAUUCUUUCUUGUACUUGGUACUUAAAUUAUGCAUUUGUUUCUGCAUUACUAAUGUGUCAGCAAGCCUAAGUAAAAACGGCACAGCAGAAAUCCUAAUCCAAACAGGUUACAAACUCUUGGUUCAAGUCAAAAUAUCAGUUGUGAGUGAAGGCACCAAAUUAACACAAACUUUCUGUUACCAGGGUUAGUAGAAUAAUCGUUCUGCCUCAGACAAAAAGCUAUAUAUACAUUGAGGAAAGCACAUAAUCUGAACAAAAAUGUUCCUAAAAAUACCAUGUUAAGACAUUUAUUACUAGUUUAUCUUCUGGUGUUUUGAUUGUGCUUCUUUUCAUUAUUUUUCAAGGCAAAAGGAAAUCUCUCAAAGUUUUGAGACUGAAAUUUGGAGGCAAACUUGGAAAUUAUGUCCCUUGUGGCAGAUUAUAUUUCUAGAGUGUUUUUAGGAAUUUAGAUAACCUUUGGAGAUUUAGACUUUAAUAUUUACUGAGCUUUGCCCUCCCUUGGGGCGCUACUAUGGGAAGGACAGUUCUGCCAAACUGAGUGCUUUAGAGAAAUCCUCUUUCUCAUAUCAAGGGAGGCUGUAACUUUGGCUUCAGUAGUAGGUGCAAAUAUUUUUGAUCUCCACUUUCAGAUUGAAAACAUAAUCAAUAAAAACUAGAAUACUAUGAUUUUUUUUUCCCCACUUUCUGGAAGAGUAGGUCAGUUACUGAGAGAUGUAGAUACAUAUCAGGACUGUGAACAGUGCAUAGCUGCACUGCAGGUCACUCUACCUGUUUUUCUGCAGUUAUGUGCAUGGUCUUAGUUUCUCAUAAGGGAACCCAUAUAUUUUCAUGUGACAAACCACUUGCUGCAGAAUAUUUCACUGGAGUCCUUACUAUUACCUUCAGUAAAAGACUUUGGUUUCCCAUACAUUGUUCAGUAAGAGGUAAGAGCUUUGAUUUUUCUACUCAGCAGGGGACUAUGAUUCUUCUGUUGAAACAGUCACACACACUGAACUACAAACGGCUGGGACAAAGUGAUCUGCAAAGUUAUAUGACAGCUAACUAGGAGUAUGUUACAUGAGCCAGAGGCUGUAUCUAGAAGAGACAGAACACAUAGUUCAGCUUCCAGUCAAAAUUAUUUAAGUGAAUAUGUUUCUUCUGCACAAGUUAGUUAUGCAAAAAUACAGACAGAGAUCUUUAGAAGAACUAUUACAGUUCCCCUGAGGAAAAAAGAGAGGGGGUUUUGAAAGAAAAACAGAAGCAUGAAACUCUGCUGCUGGAAAGAAAUGUAUUACUUAGCUUAUUAAUGGAGGGCAUAAAAGCAACAACUGAAGCUAGUAAAGAGAAAAUUCAGGAUAAAGAGAUGAAAAAGUGGUGACUUCAGUCCUUUUCUGUAAAUUUUUUCAAUUAACUGGAGAAACCACUAUUAAAGAUACAGUAGCAAAAUGUUUGACACUGACAGAUAAAUACAUGCA
ensembl:lncRNA